rnacentral:misc_RNA from 1 species
UAAAAAAUUCAAUCAUUAACACAAUUCUUCGAGGAAACGAUAUAUUUUCUAUACUACUUGUACGAUCCGUGCACUUGCCAUUGAGACACAACAGUUUCCUGUUUCUUGCUCUUUAACCUCCAUGGCCGAUUCUUGAAUCUUUUCUAUUGGUUUUUCUAACUUAUUUCGUCGGACAACUUGGAUUAUAGUUUCUUUUGGGGGUUCUCUUUCAAG